ensembl:misc_RNA Metazoa_SRP Metazoan signal recognition particle RNA
GCUGGGUGUGGUGGCUCACACCUGUAAUCCCAGACUUUGGGAGGCUGAGGUUGGAGGAUCGCUUGAUCCCGGGAUGUCGAGGCUGCAGUGAGCCGUGAUUGUGCCACUGCACUCCAGCCUGGGUGACAGAGUGAAAACCUGUCUCAA